CUCACAGUCUCCCUUAUCAAACAUAUUAAAGUAAUGGGCAAGGAUGCUGAUCAAAAACUGUACCGUUUUUCACUCAUCCCACAAACAACUGUACGCAUCCAGCCAUCCAAGGACAAGCAUAUAUUUAUAUGUAAUGAUGCACAUCAACAAAUGUAUCUUUUCACGAUUCCAGAGGUAUUUUUUUCUCUUUUUGAGAUGGUAAGUCCUACCCCAAAAUCCCCUCUGAUCGGGGACUAAAAAUGACCCUUCCACACUUUGCUCCCAUGGUGACUCAAGCUGCCAACCUUGUUAAGAGGAGAGUGCUUUACCACUACAGCAACCUCACUUGUCCCUGGAGGCUGU
rnacentral:lncRNA from 1 species